rnacentral:rRNA from 1 species
UACGGAGGGGGCUAGCGUUGUUCGGAAUUACUGGGCGUAAAGCGCACGUAGGCGGAUUGGCAAGUUGGGGGUGAAAUCCCGGGGCUCAACCCCGGAACUGCCUCCAAGACUUCCAGUCUUGAGUCCGAGAGAGGUGAGUGGAAUUCCGAGUGUAGAGGUGAAAUUCGUAGAUAUUCGGAGGAACACCAGUGGCGAAGGCGGCUCACUGGCUCGGUACUGACGCUGAGGUGCGAAAGCGUGGGGAGCAAACAGG